GUAUCUCGUUCCUUACCAAUCGAUAUAAUCAUUAAAAUAGCCGGUACCAGAAAUGCCAGAGAGAAGCAUUCGUCAUCGAAGCAUUCUGUCUCGCGUAGGACUGGAGUAAGCAAAGUGGAGAUCAGAGAACCCGUGUUAAUGGAGAAGUAGAAAAGGGAAAAGAACAUUGCCAAGUAUCGUUCCUGCUGAGGCAGGAUGAACUGAUCGCCUCCGAAAGCUGACACGCAAGGUUUUAUCCCGCCUGUGCCAAGCGCAAUCAGAAUUGCGUUUUAUACAUAUUCUGAUACCGACCUUGCGGGUAGUCCGAAAGGAGGUGUCGCACUUGCAGAUAAAAUCAGCUGUCCAAUCGCAUAAAUAAUGCUCACAUAAAAAAUGGUGCAAUACUUUCCGAGCCAGGAAUCAGACACGAUUGCGCCGAAUAGCGGGAAGAAAUAGACGAAACAGAUGAAGACAUGAUAGAUCAUUGUAGCUGUAUUUUCGCUGUACUUUAGCAUGUUACUCAAGUACAACGCCAGGAUGGCUGAAAAAUAAUUACGUAUCAAUCUACAGUCUAAUAAAGUGACAUUUAAUCAUAUUUAACAUUAACAUCAAAGCCGCUAAGUUUCUUAGUUCACCAAGAUUUCACUAUUAAAGAAUCAAGUAAAAAUUGACAUAUUAUCUUAUUCAAAAUAUAAAAAUACACUUAAAUGUAAUAUACAUUUAAAUAUAAAUACAAUAAUUU